rnacentral:rRNA from 1 species
UGAACGCUGGCGGUAUGCUUAACACAUGCAAGUCGAACGGAAACGAUACUAGCUUGCUAGUAGGCGUCGAGUGGCGGACGGGUGAGUAACGCGUAGGAAUCUGCCUGAUAGUGGGGGAUAGCCCGAAGAAAUUCGGAUUAAUACCGCAUAAUCUAUUCGUAGUAAAGUGGGGGACUUUCGAGCCUCACGCUAUCAGAUGAGCCUGCGUAAGAUUAGCUUGUUGGUAGGGUAAAAGCCUACCAAGGCGACGAUCUUUAGCUGGUCUGAGAGGAUGAUCAGCCACAUCGGGACUGAGACACGGCCCGAACUCCUACGGGAGGCAGCAGUGGGGAAUAUUGGACAAUGGGGGCAACCCUGAUCCAGCAAUACCGCGUGUGUGAAGAAGGCCUGAGGGUUGUAAAGCACUUUCAAUUGUGAAGAAAAGUUAGCGGUUAAUAACCGUUAGCCUUGACGUUAACUUUAGAAGAAGCACCGGCUAACUCCGUGCCAGCAGCCGCGGUAAUACGGAGGGUGCAAGCGUUAAUCGGAAUUACUGGGCGUAAAGCGUGCGUAGGUGGUUUAUUAAGUCAGAUGUGAAAGCCCCGGGCUUAACCUGGGAACUGCAUUUGAAACUGGUCAACUAGAGUAUGGUAGAGGAAAGUGGAAUUUCUGGUGUAGCGGUGAAAUGCGUAGAUAUCAGAAGGGAACAUCAAUGGCGAAGGCAGCUUUCUGGACCAAUACUGACACUGAGGUACGAAAGCGUGGGUAGCAAACAGGAUUAGAUACCCUGGUAGUCCACGCCGUAAACGAUGAUAACUAGCCGUUGGGGGGAUUUACCCUUUAGUGGCGAAGCUAACGCGUUAAGUUAUCCGCCUGGGGAGUACGGCCGCAAGGUUAAAACUCAAAGGAAUUGACGGGGACCCGCACAAGCGGUGGAGCAUGUGGUUUAAUUCGAUGCAACGCGAAGAGCCUUACCUGGUCUUGACAUCCUGCGAACUUUCUAGAAAUAGAUUGGUGCCUUCGGGAACGCAGUGACAGGUGCUGCAUGGCUGUCGUCAGCUCGUGUCGUGAGAUGUUGGGUUAAGUCCCGUAACGAGCGCAACCCCUAUCCUUAUUUGCCAGCACAUCAUGGUGGGAACUAUAAGGAGACUGCCGGUGAUAAACCGGAGGAAGGCGGGGACGACGUCAAGUCAUCAUGGCCCUUACGACCAGGGCUACACACGUGCUACAAUGGGAAGGACAAAGAGCCGCGAAGCCGCGAGGUGUAGCUAAUCUCAUAAACCUUUUCGUAGUCCGGAUUGGAGUCUGCAACUCGACUCCAUGAAGUCGGAAUCGCUAGUAAUCGUAGAUCAGAAUGCUACGGUGAAUACGUUCCCGGGUCUUGUACACACC